GACCCAGUGGCGAAUGGUUCGUGCACGCGCCGUACAUGUGAAUGCUAGCGAGUUUGGCAGCGUGAGUCCCUGGUUCGACUCCAGGCUGGGUCU